rnacentral:rRNA from 1 species
AGCGAACGCUGGCGGCAGGCCUAACACAUGCAAGUCGAACGGAUCCUUCGGGAUUAGUGGCGGACGGGUGAGUAACACGUGGGAGCGUGCCCUUUGGUUCGGAACAACUCAGGGAAACUUGAGCUAAUACCGGAUGUGCCCUUCGGGGGAAAGAUUUAUCGCCAUUGGAGCGGCCCGCGUCUGAUUAGCUAGUUGGUGAGGUAAAGGCUCACCAAGGCGAUGAUCAGUAGCUGGUCUGAGAGGAUGAUCAGCCACAUUGGGACUGAGACACGGCCCAAACUCCUACGGGAAGCAGCAGUGGGGAAUCUUGCGCAAUGGGCGAAAGCCUGACGCAGCCAUGCCGCGUGAAUGAUGAAGGUCUUAGGAUUGUAAAAUUCUUUCACCGGGGACGAUAAUGACGGUACCCGGAGAAGAAGCCCCGGCUAACUUCGUGCCAGCCGCCGCGGUAAUAC